GCGUCUGGGGACUCCAGGGAUGGGCUGGCUCGGCUCCGCCAGCCUGGGAAAGGGGGAAGCCAGUCGUGAGUUAAAGGACUGGGCGGAGCCGCCCGCAGACUGCAGGGUCAGUUAGUUGUGCCCAGCCCCGGCCCUGGCUACAGCCCGAUGGGGCCUGGGUCGGGGUUCUAUGGUCGGCCUGGCUUCCCACCAGCUCUCCGGAACAGGAGACCGGAAGCAAGCCUCCCAACUAAGGUGAAGAAUUUGUUGGCCGAAACCGACUUGGACUGUGGGCAGAAAGGUUGGAGGACCUGAAGGGUAGUCUCAAGUCUUCUCAGGAAGGUUUGUUUUAAAAAAUCCCCCGGGGAAGCUUCCAGAGAUUUGCUCCAAGCGCCGGUUCAUCUUUGGACUUAUUUGACAUAAAUACCACGUUCACCCAUCCCAUCAGCGAAUGCGUCCAAAGGUGUGCGUUAUUGAUUCCUAUCACUGUCCGGGAGGGGUGAGGAAGGGGAGGGGGCGGGUGACUCUGUGGAGAUCCAGGAGCAGAGCCGAGGGAAGGGGAUUGCAGAUUAGGAAAAUGCAGGGCCCCGAUGGUCGAUAGUCAUUUGGUGCCCCCACCAAAUCCCCAUUUCUUAGGCUAGAGGCACAUCUAGCCUUGCAUCAAUCCAUCAAGCCUCCUGGGCGUUUAUGGCCUCGGUUUCUUGGCUCCGCCUCUAUCUUUUUGUCCCUCCCAUCUGGUGAGAUCCAGCUCAGGGCCUGGGGGGGAGGGGAGUGAGUCACCUUGUGGGAGCAGCGCACCGCCACAGCUCUCCUUUCCAGGCAGAUCCCCAAGAUGGCAUAGGGCAAGCACACCUGGAGGAUUCCCCACCCCUCCAAAUCGUUCCCUCCCUCCAAGAACAAGGCUCACUUAGAUCUAGUGCUUAUUUUCUUUAUUUGCUGGAGGAGUUGAAACAAACUUUAAAUUUUUUUCCUAAACAUGAAUCAUUCAAGUAAAACCAACUGAACUAUAGAAAUUUAGCAAAGUGAGGGAACAAAAGUAGUACAACCAUUUGAAGAUGGAGAGAGCAAAGGUACAGAAGGGGAGGGGAGCAAUCUUUCUCUUUCUUUUUUUAUUUUUAUUUUUUUUUACAACAUAUAUAUGAACUCCUUAUGAUUCACCUGCUUGUAAGCAAGCAUAGGGACUCAUUCCAGAUAAUUGUUUUCUCCAAACAUCUUUUGAGAAAAUUUAAAUUUAAAACAUAAGAUAUAAAAAAAAAGUAACCACAAAACCCCCCACAAACCACACAACCACAACUGCCUUCCUUCAUUAAUCACAGGAGUUUUCAUUUUAUAAAAAGAUUAAUAAAAAAUAUUGAAAAAAUUA